UACUUUUCAGUACCUAUAGAUUUGCAUAGCAGUGUCGAAUCAAUUACGGACAUGUACUCGGUUCCACAAUUGGAAAGCUAAAAUAGCAGAUUUACAGACUCACAGUUACUUGCUCCGUUUGAUCCUCUAUUUGUUCGAGAUGAACUUCUGGGUCUAGAAUAAAACCCUACAGACAUUAUCUCUACCUUGCUUAUAAACCAGACAUGUAAGACUACAACCUUAACAUAUCAAGAAUCUUAAACAGACAUCUAAGACUACAGCCUUAAAAUGUCAAGAAUCUUCAACAUGGAAUAAGACCGUGAAGAAAUACAGGUAUGAAGAAGUACUGAUGAAAUUGUGAAUCUAUGAAUGAAAAUAAUUUGGAACUAAAUUGAAACUUCUCUUUUAUCAAUUCUGAAUUUAGACUACUAAAGCUACCAAAUACAAUACCAAGACUGUAUAUAUAUAGACUUUGAGAUAACUGCUCUUCUUAACAUCUAGCUAACAAUUUUAGCUAACUCUAACUACCUCCCUAACCGACUCAUUAUAUCUUUAACAUUCAUCCAUCCUCCCCACGGGUAAGACCCGAAGAAGAUUUCGAAACCGAGUGAAAUAAGAAAUCGAAAGUGGCUUAGUAAGCACAUCAGCCACUUGAUCAGACCCAGGAACUUCAACAACCCGAAUCGAUCCAUCAGCAACCUUUUCACAGACAAAAAAUGAUCCAACUCUACGUGUUUGAACUUGGAGUGUAGAACAGGAUUAGCAGCAACAGCUACCGCACUGGAACUAUCACACCAAAUAUUAGGUAUAUCAUCAGACUUAACAUUUAAUUCCUGAAGUAAUGACAGCAACCACAUGAUAUCGCUGGUAACUGCAGCAAGACUUUUGUAUUCAGCUUCAGCUGUUGACCCAGAGACCACAUGUUGUUUCUUGGAUGACCACGAAACUGGAUUUGACCCCAAAAAAAAUACACAAUACCUUGACGUGGAUCGUCAAUCAUCAAAAUCCAAUCCCCAGUUGGCAUCAGCAUACCCAACUAGAGACAGCUGUCCAGACGGGCGAAAAACAACCCCAUAGUCAAGUGUGCCAGACAAGUAUCGCAAGAUCUGCUUGAGAGUAACCAAAUGAACAGUGGUAGGACUAUGCAUGAACUGACAAAUCCUGUUUACUGCAUACGCAAUAUCAGGCCUAGUAAGAACAACAUACUGUAAUGCUCUAGCAAGACUCCUAUACUCAAUCGGAUCUGACAGAGGAUUGCCAUCACCCUUAGACAGAUUUGACGAGCUAAUCAUUGGCGUAUAAACACUUUUAGCAAUAGUCAUAGAACUUCGUUCAAGAAGAUCACGGACAUACUUCUUUUGACAAAGAUGAAUACAACCGGAGGAAGAUCGAGUAAAUUCAACCCCAAGGAAAUAAUAAAGGUCACCCAUAUCUUUUAACGAGAACUCAUCAAUCAAUAACUUCACAAACCAAUCAAUGGAAGUAGGCACAUCCCCAGUUACGAUAAUAUCAUCUAUAUACACAAGGACGUAGAGUGUAAAAUCAGGUUGUACACGAACAAAUAACGAAGCAUCCAAUUUUGAACCAACGAAGCCAACUGUCACAAGAAAUUCCUUUAGCUUUUCAAACCACGCUCGUGGAGCCUGACGAAGACCGUAUAGAGCUUUCUUUAGACAGCACACCAGAGGUUUCCCAUCAGAACUAUACUACACAUAUCCUGGGGGUUGCUGCAUGAAUACCUUACUAUCAACAUCACCAUUUAAGAAUGCAUUGUACACAUCAACUUGUCGAAGUGACCACCCUCUAGAGACUACAAUAGACAAGAUGACCUUGAUAGUAGCAGGUUUCACCACUAGACUGAAUGUUUCCUGGAAAUCACAACUUGGAACUUGAGAACAGCCUUUUGCGACUAAACGCGCUUUACGACAAUCAACAGACCCAUCUGGAUUUUGCUUGACCUUAAACAACCAUUUACACCUUAUAACCUUACGACUCGGUGGUAGAGGAACAAGAUCCCACGUAGCAUUGCGAAUAAGCACAUCAUACUCAACUUGAGCUGCAUCACGCCACUCAGAGCUAGCAAAUGCCUCCUUAAUCGUAGAAGGUUCCACAGCUUCAACAGUCAUGACUCUUGUUUAAACACACCAACCUUUGAUCGAGUAAUCAUUGGGUGAACAUUCGUAGCAGACAAAGAAAUGUCAGGUCCCGUUAGAGCAGACGAAAUCUCAAUAACGUGUGUAAUGUGUUGAACAUUCGUAAACUGUGAAUCAACAGUACCAGUGUUUGGCAAACUAACAUUGACAUGUGCUAGAUUAACAGCUACUCCAUCUUAAACAACAAGAGACCUGCUCGAGGAACCCAGAGAAACAGGAACAGACACCAAGCCUUCAGACCUAGGAGGGACAAUAUUGACCAGAGGAACACAUGUGGGUAAAGAGAUUGGCUCACUACCAGACCUUGGCUUGUCAAGAGAGAGAAAUCAUUUUUCAUCAAACUCCACAUGGCGAGAAACUAUAAGUUUACCAUCAGGCAAGAGACACUGAUAUCCUUUGUGACGAGCAUUGUAUCCCAAGAAAGUGCAGGGCUUCGACUGGAACUCUAACAUAUAACGUUGAAAUGGUCUCAAAUAAGGAUAACAACAACAACCAAAAACACGCAAAUAAUCAUACUUGGAAUCAUGCCCAUAAAGAGCUUUAUAUGGAGUUUGACCAUACAGCACCAGUGUGGGAAGACGAUUAAUCAGAUGUACUGCACAAGUAAAAGCAUACGCCUAAAAUUCCAUAGAAAGACCUACUUGAGCCAGCAGAGUAAGCCCCAUGUCCAUAAUGUGCCUAUGUUUACGCUCCGCGACUCUAUUUUGUUCAGACGUAUGAGGACAAGACAGGUGAUGAAUGAUACAUUGAUAAGCUAGAACUGAGGUGAAAGCUUGAUACUCGCUACCCCAAUCACUCUGAAAUAUUUUUAUAGUUUUACCAAAUUGAGUUUGAACAAGUUUCUGAAACUGACCAAAACACUCCACAACCUGAUAUUUCUGCCAAAUAAGGUAAAUCUAAGUGAACCGAGUACACAUAUCAAUAAAUGUCACAUAAAACCAGUUAUUAGUACAAGCAACCGACGCAGGUCCCCAAACAUCAGAAACAACCAAAGCAAAUGGACCAGUAUACUCAGUAGUGGAAUCAGAAAAAGGCAACUUAUAAAUUUUCUUUUUUUUUUACAUGCAGUACAAACAUUGUCACUAGAAACGUUAUUUAAUUUGAUAUGACAAUUAUUAAGAACAGUCUUGACAACCGAAGUAGAUGGAUGGUCAAGACGUUUUUGCCAUAACAAAAAAAAACCUCACUAUCAGCAGGUCGAUGCUGGAGUCUAACCUGAGCAGUAGAUGGAUUAAUAGUAGCCGGAUCAGACCCUUGCGGCAGAGAAAACUAAUACAACCCAUUACGAAUAUGCCCUGUCAGCAGAAUUUCUUGCGUCAUGUUAUCCUUAAUAGCACAAUGUGUAGAAUGAAAUUAAAAGAAAAUGUCAUUUUCAAUCGCAAAUUGAGACACUGACAACAAAUUCUUUCGUAUAGUAGGGACACACAACACAUUAGACAACCGAAACACCCUAGAAAUUGUAGGUAAAACACCUUGACCAAUUCAAGAAAUCAUAGUAGGCGUACCAUCACCCAUUAAAAGAGAAGACUUACCGGAAUACAGAACAGGAUCGCGCAGUAUAGAAGAACCCUGACAUACAUGAUUGCUAGCACCAGAAUCAGGGUACCAAGACGUGGUGCCAACCGACCAGGAACAGUGCCAUCAGCACUCGUCCCAUGAUGAGUGGUGUUUAGAGUCGUGUCAGAAUAAUUAGAAGCAUGAGAAUCACCAAGUCAAGAAAGCCCAACACAAACACGAGCCCGCGGUUUAGUACGCCAUGAAACCUACAGACAUCAUCGUCAUUGGACCAUUGCCAAAUUGAGCAUUAUUAGAAAUAGGCUCAUUGAUAUUUAAAGGAGCGAACGGCCUAGGAAUAGGCCCAAAAUCGCACCCAGCCCAUUAUUAAAACCAAAAUGACGCGACCCUUUAUUGAAAUGAAACUGUGAUGGCCCAUUAUAACCUUGCGACAUCAUUGGCCCAUAGAAAGACGGACCAACAUUUGGCCCACACCAAUUUGCAAAAUCAAUACGCGGCUGACAAGUUUGACCAUAACCCCAAUUUUGACCAAUUUACCAAUUUUGACCAACGCCAUAUCCUGGUUGACCAACUGCAUUCUACCAAUUUUGAGGGUUAGAAACCCUAGGACGCGUGUUCAGUAGAGAGACCCAAGCAAGACCACGAGAAUCGUCACGAACCAUACUCACCAAAGUACUCACUGGAGAAACAUCAUCACGGCGAUACUGAUAAAAAUAAUGCUGUGCAACAUAACCAAAUCGUGAGCAGAUUUAACACUGGAGAUGGGGCCGAAAACCCCUACCCUGACCUCGUGAAACCACGCGACCAUCGCGAACAGAUCCGUCUAUGGCCAACGACGAUGAAUCUUCAACGAGGUUCGCAGUAAAGAUGAUCUCUUAGACUACUUUCGCCUGUCGAGUUUCACAAUCAAGAAGAGCAUCAAAAAGGCGUUAAAACAGAACUGGAGUCAGAGACAAAGAGGCGACAGAAACAACAGCAUCAAAUUCCGAUGAGAGUCUUGUAAGUAAAACCCCCAUUUGCUCGGCCGCAGAGAUAGGAGAAUCAGACGCGUCCAGAAUCGCGCAUAAUCCUUUCAGUUUAGCAAUAUACUAACGAAUGUACAAACUCUCCUUCUUGAGAGAAAGCAGAUCGUGACGCAACCGAGAUUGCUUCACCUCCGUAUCGCCGUAAAGAGCGCACCUGCCACCAUCCACACAUCAAAUGCUGACUGAACAUCUAUGAAAAAUGACAAGUCAGAGGCACUGAUAGUGGAGAGAAGCCACGAUGUCAACAAAUUAUCUUGCUGUUGAAACACCGUAGCAGUCGUGUUAACCACAAGAGCACUAUCAUGUGCUUGUACAAACAUCGGUGGAGCCACAACAAAGCUAUCAAGAAAACCAAACAAACCAUAACCAGUCACAAUAAACUGUAUCUUCUGUUUCCAUUACACAAAUGAGCGUUCAUCAAGUUUUACAACAUCAUGUCUCGAAAAAGAAUUAACAGUGCGAUUUGCAGCAAAAACAGAUCCUUGCUGCUCAGCCGAAUCAGAAUUAGGAGAAGUCAUGGUGGUCAUAUCCUAGGAUCACCAAGUGACUCAUACCAUGAAGAAAUACAGGUAUGAAGAAGUACAGAUGAAAUUGUGAAUCUAUGAAUGAAAAUAAUCUGGAACUAAAUUAAAACUUCUCUUUUAUCAA
rnacentral:lncRNA from 1 species